rnacentral:rRNA from 1 species
AUAUUUGAGAGAUUGAUCCAGGCUCAGCAUGAACGCUGGCUGCGUGCCUAACACAAGCAAGUUGAGCGAUUUACAACCGA